GGUCACCCUGCAACGGCUCUGCGGCCAUGUGUGGCUCGUGACUGCUGUGCUGGACAGGGUGAGCCUAGAGCAGGUUACGUGAGAGCCAGCUCUGCAGCCUCUUGUGACUGCGGGGAACCUCUCUCACUUUCCAUGGUGACAUCU